rnacentral:misc_RNA from 1 species
GAUGAAGAACGUAGCGAAAUGCGAUACGUAAUGUGAAUUGCAGAAUUCAGUGAAUCAUCGAGUCUUUGAACGCACAUUGCGCCCCCUGGUAUUCCGGGGGGCAUGCCUGUCCGAGCGUCAUUGCUGCCCUCAAGCACGGCUUGUGUGUUGGGCCUCCGCCCCCCGGCUCCCGGGGGGCGGGCCCGAAAGGCAGCGGCGGCACCGCGUCCGGUCCUCGAGCGUAUGGGGCUUCGUCACCCGCUCCGUAGGUCCGGCCGGCGCCCGCCGGCGACCCCCCUCAAUCUUUCCAGGUUGACCUCGGAUCAGGUAGGGAUACCCGCUGAACUUAAGCAUAUCAAUAAGCGGAGGA